GCUGGGCACAGUGGGGCACGCCUGUAAUUCCAGCUGCUUGGGAGGCUGAGACAGGGGGACCUGAGUUUAAAGCCAGCCUCAGCCAUGGUGAGGCACUAAGAAACUCAGUGAGAGUGAGACCCUGUCUCUA
rnacentral:sRNA from 1 species